CCCAACUAUCCCUAUUAAUCAUUACGGUGGUCCUAGACCAACAAAAUAGAACCAUGCGUCCUAUUUCAUUAUUCCAUGCUAAUGUAUUCAGGCACUAGCCUGCUUUAAGCACUCUAAUUUUUUCAAGGUAACAGUCCUGCUUCCCCAACGCACCAAAUUAAUGGCAUGCUGGUUAUUCAGAAGGUAGGAAUCCAUCGCACCAGUACGGACCGAAAAAGCCCGACCAAUGGAUAAACCCCGAAAUUCAACUACGAGCUUUUUAACUGCAACAACUUUAAUAUACGCUAUUGGAGCUGGAAUUACCGCGGCUGCUGGCACCAGACUUGCCCUCCAA
rnacentral:misc_RNA from 1 species